AUGGGAAGGGAGCUGCGAGCCACCCAGCAGGGACACAUCUGGGCAUGGACAUCGCCAGCCUCACCAGGGGAAGGGGUGGAAAGGGCAGAGAGGGUGCGGCGUGGAGCCCCUGCCUUGGGAAGGGCAGAGCAGGCGGCCGGAGGAAGGAUGUGGCCACCAGCUGCUGGCUCUGUGCCCUGCUGCUGGUCAGGGUUUGCUCGGGCCGGAGCUGACAGCCACCAGAUUUUCCAUUUGAAAUGGGAAGCAGCCGCUUGCCAGAGCCCCUCGGGCGAGCAGAGCAGGGGGGAGGCACCGUGCGCUGCUUUGCCUCCCCUGGUAUCAUCCGGGAGGAUUCGUGGAGCUGGGAGAUGGGCAGCCCUCGCUUUCUGUGCUGCUGUACACGAGGUUCUGCUGCCUUCGGGCCUCACCUCCUGCAGUCACAGUGCCCAAUUUUUGGGCAGCACUGCCUGGGGUGCUGCUGGGACAGGUAGGGACUCCUGGCCGUCGCAGUGGGUGUACCCAUCCCUGGCUCCAGGUGAAGACACAGCCAAAAAGCAGGGCAGCAUUUUGACCACUUCAGCCAGGGGCUGCUGCCCCACGCCCCAGGCACAGAGGGAUGGGGCUCAGAGGAGCUGUAGGAUGCUGUCACCCAGCAGUGUGUCACCCUCAGAGGACACCACGAGGGCAUCCAGCACCUGGAGCCACUGUGCUGCUGCACGGGGACAUCCUGAGCACAGCACCCAGCUCCCCCCGUGCUGCUUCACCCUGUGGGUGAGGAUGCAGCGAGGUGGGAAGCGUUUCUUUCUGGCUCUAUGGGACAAGAUGUGCUGCUGUGGGAUGCCAGGAUGCUCCAGCAACGUCAGUGGGAGCCCGUUCCCUCUCCACGAGAUCAGGCUGGCCCAAAAUAGCGGGGAAAUGGCCAAGAGCAUCAGGAGAUGCUCAGCCCCUGCCCAGCACUCGGGGGAGGCUCAGCCUGCGGAGCUCCAGCACCUCUCACAUGUAAAAGUUGGAGGCAGAAGGAGCCAGCAACUGCAGCCAGGCUAA
rnacentral:lncRNA from 1 species